rnacentral:misc_RNA from 1 species
AAGUCGUAACAAGGUUUCCGUAGGUGAACCUGCGGAAGGAUCAUUAUUGAAUUAGUGAGGGCUGUCUGCUGGCCCCUUCGGGGGCAUGUGCACGUCCGAGCCGUUUAAAUCAACACCUGUGAACUCACCGUAGGCCUUCGGGCUUAUGUAUCAUAAUAUACUCAGAUCAUAGAAUGUAUGUUUUGCCUUUAAAAAAGCAAUCAAAUACAACUUUCAACAACGGAUCUCUUGGCUCUC